rnacentral:rRNA from 1 species
UCGGGAAUUUUGGGCAAUGGGCGAAAGCCCGACCCAGCAACGCCGCGUGAAGGAUGAAGUAUUUCGGUAUGUAAACUUCGAAAGAAUAGGAAGAAUAAAUGACGGUACUAUUUAUAAGGUCCGGCUAACUACGUGCCAGCAGCCGCGGUAAUACGUAGGGACCAAGCGUUGUUCGGAUUUACUGGGCGUAAAGGGCGCGUAGGCGGCAUGACAAGUCACUUGUGAAAUCUCUGGGCUUAACCCAGAACGGCCAAGUGAUACUGUCGCGCUAGAGUGCAGAAGGGGCAAUCGGAAUUCUUGGUGUAGCGGUGAAAUGCGUAGAUAUCAAGAGGAACACCUGUGGCGAAGGCGGCCACCUGGUUGGAUACUGACGCUGAGACGCGAAAGCGUGGGGAGCAAACAGGAUUAGAUACCCAUGUAGUCCCUGAGCGGGCUGGCAAGGCGCAU